CAUUUCUUCCUGCCUUCCUCAAACAUUCUGGCCUUUCGAGGUAAGUGCUAUUCCCAUAUGCAUUCAUCUGGAGUCUCCAGACAACAGGACCGGUUUCCUGUAGUCUGUAUAUUAUGUAUGUGUCUUAUAUAUUUUAUAUCUUUUUAUUUACUAUAAGCAAUUGGCUUACAUGAUUAAUGAGGCUGAGAAGUCCAAGAUGGGCAAUUGGCAAACUGGGGACCCAGGAGGGCUGCAGGUACAGUUCCAGUGUGAAUUCAAAGGUCUGAUGACCAGGGAGCCAAUUGGUGGGAGGUCCCGUCUGAAUCCGAGUCUGAAGGCGGGAGGGGACUGAUGUCGCAGCUCAAACACGGAGAGGCGGAAGGGAAGACUUCUCUCUUGCUCUGCCUUUUGGUCAAUGUUCUUUGCCUUCGGUGGGUUGGAGGAGGCCCACCCACAUUGGGAAGGGCAAUUUGCUUCACUAAGUGUGCAGAUUCAAACAUUGCUUUCAUCUAGGAACACCUUCACAGAAACACCCAGAAGAAUGUUUGACCAAAUAUCUGGGUGCUCUGUAGCCCAGGCAAGUCAGUACCUAUAGUUAGGCAUCACGCCAUAUUCAUUUGUCACUGUCCUCUGCCUGUCUUCUGGUCACUUCCUGUUCUCUGAAGGUUUGGAAACUCACUUCAUUUUUAUUAUCUGGGAAACUGUGGAGUUCUACUCAAAGUCUCCCCAAAACUUGGGAUGUGGGCUACAAGUGUGGUCAGAGGGUGAGAGACUUCCAGGAAGAUCGCCCCUCUGGAAGGGUGGGCUUGCAUUUCAAGGGGGGUGUGUGUGACCCAGGACCACUGCAUGUUCCUGUGUUCUGAAUCUGGAGACACUAAUCAUCUCUUCCUCUUAGGGUAAUUUAUGCACAUUUCAAAGGGUGAGAAUCCGGGAUCCUUCCCAGGGAGGAUUUAUUUAUACUAGGAAGCGACAACCUCCAUUGCCGUCACCCUGUCAAAUGUGCCAUCAUCUCUCACUGCUGAUGGUCUCCCGGUUCCUCCUACGUCACAGAAUAAUCAGUGAUAUUUUAAGAUACAAAUCAGAUCAUAUCAUUCUCUGCUCUGAAACCCCUAAAGCUUCUCAACACAUUUAGAAACAGUACCCCCCAUUUUUUAAAUCAUGGCCCGUAAGUCUCUACAUGUCUGUAUAACUUUAUGAUCCUGAAUUCCUCCAUGCUCCUUCUCUCUCAUUUUACUCCAGCCUCAUUGGUCUUGCAAUUUCUGAAACACACCAAGCUUGUGCCUGCCCCAGAGCUCCUAUCCUUGUAGCACCUUCCCUUGAAUCCUUGCUCUGUGCCCAGAUCAUCAACAGGCUUGCUCCCUCAGGACAGGGCUAAACUGGCACCUCCAUGGGCAGGACCUCUCUGUCAGCCAUACUUGUAAUUGUCCCCUGCCCUCCUCCUGCCCCCUCUAUCCCUUCACCUGCCCUAUUAUUCCUGGUAGCGUUUAUUAGUAUUUAAAAUCAGUAUCAUAGACUCAUUCCUUUGCUAGCUUAUUGUCUGUCUCUGCCAGAAAAUGGCCAUCAUAAGGGGCCUUAAAAGUUUGUCUUGUGUGUUGAUGUUUUGUGCAUUACUGACCAGCACAGCUCCUGGCACAUAAAAGGGCUCAAUUUUUUUUGAUGAAUGAAUGAGUGAAGGGCAGUAUCUGAGCCUUUGAUUCAAUAAAUCCAUCUCUUCCACAUCUUAAGUGCUUGGAGAGGGAAUGAAAAGAGGCACACUUCCAGUUUUCUACAUGAUUCAUUCUUUAUCAGACAGAUCAACACACCAGCAAGCAUACAGGGUGAAGGGUCUGUAUGGAGCUAUGGGAGACGGGGGUGCUGGGCUGGGCUGGCAUGUUGCAUGUCCCCCAACACAGCAGAAUAAGAGCCCACAGGGCACAUCAAGCAGGGGGAGCAUCUGAUGGGCUGGUGGCUGCUGCGUCACGGAGGUCAUGGCCCUGUGCUUGUUCCUCCAGUUUUCUGCUGAACCCACAUAGUUUUUGAAUAUAAUGAUGGCAGGAAGAGGGUUCUCCCCUCCUCCUGUUUACAAAAUGAGCUGGUACCCCGCUGUUAUGGCCUCUAGGAGAAGUCACUGAGCAUGACCUUCCAAUUAAAUCAUGCACCCAGCAUCUCUCAUUUCUGAUGACAUCUUUGAAGUGCUGAGACACCCCUGGGCAUGUGAUGUGAAAGAAUACUGGUCCACAGAACUCCUUCAUCCAGGGAGGAGGUUCCAGCAGGUGUGUCCUUGAGUUUAUGUGAAGAGCAGAAUGCCGCCCUCUCACCUGCUACUUCCUCCCAGCCAGGCUUCAGGACCCGCAAUUGACAGCCUUGGGGUCACGUGGAGCUGCAAACUAGAGGCGCCUUACGGUGGAUAAUGAUACGUGAGAGCAUUUACCAGAGCUCCUAUGUGCCAGGUCUGUGCCGAGGGCAGCACUUUGCAUGCACACUCACUCCUCACCCACCCUCUUUUCAUUCUGUCCCCAAGGCAGCAGGGAACAGGCUCAUGUCAAGGUCAUCAGUGACUGCCAUCUUGUGAAGGUCCAGGAAAGCUACCUCGGUUCCCUCAUGGGUUCUCUUGGCAGCGUCUGAUUCCCGUGACUACUUCCUUCUUCUUCAGCUCCUGUGUUGUUUCACUGUCCUGAUUUUCCUCCUCGCCCAGAUUGUCAUCUCUGUUUUCACCAGAUCAUUUGCUGGAGAACCCCUGGUCUGUGGCCUUCGUCCUGUCUGUCUGUUUACAUUUUUUCCUCAGAUUUAUGUCACCUCUUCAGAGAGGCCUUCCUUGCCUGAUGGGGAAACCGAGACUAAGGGAAACCCAGUAACUUGUGUGAAGCUCCUCUGCUGGGUGUCUUGCCUCAGUUAUUCUACUCUGCAGUAUGAGAAAAACUUGAGAUGUUGGCAAUCAUCCAAAUAUCCAGGCGCUGCUAUGAUUGAGCCAACAUUUCCAUCUCCUUGGUCUGCUGCUUGGAGGAGAGAGAAAUUUGGUGCUGAAGGGAGUGAAAUCCCAGAAACUGCUCCCCUCUGGGCCUGGAUACAGGUGAGUCAAGGUUGCUAACUCUUUCUUUUUUCUUCCUAAGUUUAUAAUUUUCUCUUUUUUCCUACUGUGCUUUAAGAGUGAAAGCUUCAGUCUGCUUGCUCCUGAAAGGAAACUGGUGGUGGACUAUGAUUUGACUGAUGUGUUCACACAUUUGUUUGCAGCCAGUUUGUCUCCGUAUCCCAGCUUCUGCUAUAGUUCUUGGGACAUGAUAGGGGCUGAGAGAACAUUAGCUGGAUGAACGACUGAAUUUACUGGAAGCAGAGUCCUGAGCCUGCCCACUUGGUUGAAUAAAAGACCAGGUGGACUGUAGACUGAUUACCAGGUAACCAAUGUCCAAGCGAGGAGAUCUCUCCAAUAAGAUUGCUGCUUGGGUAGCUCGAAUCCACUCAUGUAUUCAGGUAUUCAUAUACUCGCUUAUUCAUCCAGCACAUGUUUAUCUGGGGUAUUUAGGGACGUGUGGCACAGUGUCAUGAACUUCCAUCUAGUUGAAGAAAUGUACCUUAGACAAGUGAACCCAUGACGACAAACUGACAAGUAGUAGGAAAGAGAGGGCGGGAGGAAUGCAGUGUAGACUGGGUUUAAGGAUUGGCCUGUGGAGGGACAGGGUGGAGCUUGGCACUCGGUUGGUCACCCUGCAGUCCUGCAAUGCUUGACACACUUCUCUAGUGGGAAGGGCCAGGGAGCACGCUAAUCACCCGUUCUUACUGCCGUAGAGGCCCUGAGUUCUUAGCGCGAACCACUCUCCUCCGUGAGCAUGUGGUCUGUUCGCCAGCGCGCUCUGUGGGCGGAGCCAGCACCAGAUGCAAGUGUGCUUUCUGACAUCAUUAAAAUUUUAGCUGCUGAGACUUUGGUUCCAAAGAGGCAAUAAACUAAAUAUUUCAGAGAGCCCAGAACUGAAAUGGACAGAUGGACCCAAAAUAGUCUACUUUGUAAUUAUUCAAAUUAGCAUAAUUUCCACUUCA